UACGUAGGGGGCAAGCGUUUGUCCGGAUUCAUUGGGCGUAAAGAGCGUGUAGGCGGCCAGGUAGGUCGGUUGUGAAAACUGGAGGCUCAACCUUCAGAGGUCGACCGAAACCAUCUGGCUAGAGUCCGGGAGAGAAGAGUGGAAUUCCACGUGUAGCGGUGAAAUGCGUAGAGAUGUGGAGGAACACCAGUGGCGAAGGCGACUCUUUGGUCUGUAACUGACGCUGAGGCGCGAAAGCGUGGGGAGCAAACAGG
rnacentral:rRNA from 1 species